rnacentral:rRNA from 1 species
UACGAGGGGGGCGAGCGUUGUUCGGAAUUAUUGGGCGUAAAGGGUGCGUAGGCGGUUUGGUAAGUCUUAUGUGAAAUCUAUGGGCUCAACUCAUAGUCUGCAUGAGAAACUGCCGGGCUUGAGUAUGGGAGAGGUGAGUGGAAUUCCUGGUGUAGCGGUGAAAUGCGUAGAUAUCAAGUGGAACACCAGUGGCGAAGGCGAGUCUCUGGACAUUUCCUGACGCUGAGGCACGAAAGCCAGGGGAGCAAACGGG